ensembl:rRNA 5S_rRNA 5S ribosomal RNA
CCAUAGCACCAUGAACACACUUGACCUCUUCUGAUCUUGGAAGCUAAGUGGGGUCAGUCCUGGCUAGUACUUGGAAGCAAGAAG